rnacentral:rRNA from 1 species
CUACGGGCGGCAGCAGUGGGGAAUAUUGCACAAUGGGCGCAAGCCUGAUGCAGCCAUGCCGCGUGUAUGAAGAAGGCCUUCGGGUUGUAAAGUACUUUCAGCGGGGAGGAAGGGAGUAAAGUUAAUACCUUUGCUCAUUGACGUUACCCGCAGAAGAAGCACCGGCUAACUCCGUGCCAGCAGCCGCGGUAAUACGGAGGGUGCAAGCGUUAAUCGGAAUUACUGGGCGUAAAGCGCACGCAGGCGGUUUGUUAAGUCAGAUGUGAAAUCCCCGGGCUCAACCGGGGAACUGCAUCUGAUACUGGCAAGCUUGAGUCUCGUAGAGGGGGGUAGAAUUCCAGGUGUAGCGGUGAGAUGCGUAGAGAUCUGGAGGAAUACCGGUGGCGAAGGCGGCCCCCUGGACGAAGACUGACGCUCAGGUGCGAAAGCGUGGGGAGCAAACAGGAUUAGAUACCCUCGUAGUC